rnacentral:misc_RNA from 1 species
GCACCUCUCACACAUAUUGUGUGGAAUUGGGAUGCGCCGAAAGCUUUCGGCCCUCUUAAAAUGUAGUUCUUGACUGUUUCCUACUUACAGCAGUUUGGCCCAAUAGUUUUGACAUGUCAAAUCUUUGGCUACAUCUGUUUCAGGAUAUCAGUUUUGAUAUACAGAAAAAUUCAUUCAAAA